rfam:Podospora anserina genomic DNA, chromosome 6.
GGCCUCGUGGCGCAACGGUAGCGCGUUCGACUCCAGAUCGAAAGGUUAUCCGUUCAAAUCGGGUCGGGGUCA